CUAGGUUACCGAGGUAGCCCUAUUCCUGGCGCCAUGACACUGUCCUCGGUGUUGAAAGCAUGAGCUAAGGACCGAUGUAUCUGCUGUAUUGCAGCUAUAUAACGGCCUACGAUUCGAACGUUGCACCUGGAGGACCACCAGAGGGGUAUACUACAAAGCAGGAGCAAUAACUUAACCAGCUAACUUGCCUGAAUAUUUUAAGAUUAGAAUAGAGGUUAGGUCAGGACGAUACUGGAUCGAGAGGGCCAGGUGGUCCUACUCGCAUUAAUACAGUGGACAACACACAAACACCCACAGCAACAGAAGGAAAUGCUAUCCUCUGAUCGUCUCCAUUCACCUCUGACAGUUUGGCACAGCAGCGG
rnacentral:lncRNA from 1 species